rnacentral:sRNA from 1 species
AGUGACUGCGGAGGAUCAUUACCGAAUUGUCAACAUGGGUUGUUGCUGGUCCUCAAACGGGGGCACGUGCACGCUCUGUUCACACAUCCACUCACACCUGUGCACCCACUGUAGUUCUGUGGCCUGGGGGACCUGUCCCCCUUGCUGUGGUUCUAUGUCUUUACACACACACCGUGACAAAGUCUUAUGGAAUGUAUACCGCGUCUAACGCAUUAAAAUACAACUUUCAGCAACGGAUCUCUUGGCUCUCGCAUCGAUGAAGAACGCAGCGAAAUGCGAUAAGUAAUGUGAAUUGCAGAAUUCAGUGAAUCAUCGAAUCUUUGAACGCACCUUGCGCCCUUUGGCUAUUCUGAAGGGCAUGCCUGUUUGAGUAUCAUGAACACCUCAACUCUCACGGUUUGCCGUGAUGAGCUUGGACUUUGGGGGUAUUGCUGGCCUUAUGGUCAGCUCCUCUCAAAUGGAUCAGCUUGCCAGUGUUUGGUGGCAUCGCAGGUGUGAUAACUAUCUACGCUUGUGGUCUCCCACCAGGUAACCCUCAGCGAUGGGGGUUCGCUGGAGCUCAUAAAUGUCUCUCCUCAGUGAGGACAGCUUUUGAACGUUUGAUCUCAAAUCAGGUAGGACUACCCGCUGAACUUAAGCAUAUCAAUA